rnacentral:lncRNA from 1 species
AAUGAAAGUUGAGAUUAGCAUCUAAUCAUCCUUCGCUUGACAGGCUGAGGUGUUAGGAACACUGAACAUUGACCAGCUUAUGUUGAACUGUUCAGUUUGGACAGACAACAGUGCUUUCGUUCAAGUGGAACUUGGAAGAAGUUCUACUGGGAAAGCACAGGCCCAAGACCAGUGGAAGAGUCUGUGAAGAGACAAAAAGAUCAUGAAAGGAAUGAAACCAGAGAAAGAUGAGACCACAUUGAGGCUUAGCUGGUGGAAUUAGAUACUGUACUUUGGCCUUGUGAAGAGAAGGUAUUUGACUGUUAACAGCUGAAGCACUCCUACACUAGAGGGAGAGUUGGAAAGAACUUUGUUGCUGAGCACUGCCCAGCUGUGGCUGUAGGGUUAAAUUCAACAUUGGUCUUCCAAAGAGAGUAGGAUGUUGAUUUCGUGUUCCUUAGCUCACCAACCGUUGCUGGAGAAGACAAUGUGUUUAGCCUGUACCACUGCCAUAUCUUCUGUUGCCUCCAUCACUCUGUCUUUUCAGCAUUCUUAAGUAGUUCUUCCUCAGUCCCCCCUCUCCCCAGGCAGCCAUUACUGAAUUUAUGAUUCAAAAAAUUUGGGUGAAGAUAAGAGGUACAGUACGAACUGUGGCAUAGACCCUGUAAAGGCACCUGAAAGUGAACUCUAAUGAGCAAGACCAGGUUUUGGAGAAGGGGGAAUUGCAGAGAAGAUGGCACAAGGCUUCUCUCUGAGAUGUGCAGCAACAGGACAAGAGACAAAAGUGAGAAGCUGCAUCCAGGGAAGUUCCAGUUGUGGGAUGAAGAAUGGUUUUGUCUUCCAGCUUCUGAUAAGAAAAACAAAAGUAAAAGAAGACACAGGUAUGUGCUAGCUGGAAGAAACCUGUUCCAACACUCGGAUUAUAAGAAAAAGAGUAUGUUGAGAGAAGAAAGAAGUCUGACAUACUUUCUACUUGAUCUGAAAUUCAUCUCCAUGCAUCAGCUUUCUGAGUAUUUUUUAAUGCUGUAGUCCCACGUUACAGGUAUAUGCUGCAGGAUAAAGAGCAUCAGUCCCUUCUGGAAAUGCCUUGGGAAUACAUUACCUGGAGGAAGCACGAGAAUUUGUGAAAUUCUGAAGAGAGAAGAACAAAAGGUACUAAAUCUGAGGCUGUGGCUGCUAAAAUGAGCUGCUGAGCACUGGAGAGCUGCAGAACCUCUGCACCUGUUAUUUCCAGUAAUAGAAAAGAAACCCAAGUGUCUCAAAGGUGUGGAUGCUAUUUUGUUUGGUUUGGGAGAAGUGUUAAAUAAAAUAACCGUUCUGAAAGCAAAAGUUCUUUUCUAAAGGUGGCUAUUCUCUGUAUUCAUCUGGUUUCCCUAUUCCAAUUCCCUUCAGCUGAUAAUGCUGCGUCCUCAGGUCCCACACCCUCCAUCGUGGCCUGUGUAACAUGCAGUAUUUCAAAGGAGCACAGCUGGGUGCUGGACUGUAAUUUGUCAUGCAGCUAGGACCACAUCCAUCAGUUUAUUUGAAGGUAAGGACCAGCACCUUGGAAGUGGAUGGAGAGCUAAUGGACUCAUGUUUCUGCUGUGUUCACAGGGACUUAAACCAGGGAGAAAAGGGUCAGGCACGUCCAUAUAAUUUCACUUUUUGCCUUAGAUGCCAUGAUUUGUAGUAGUUUGGUCAGAAAUUACAAAGGAGCAGCUCUCUGCUAUGAGUUCCUCAUGCCAUAGAGAGCUGUAAUGAGUUUAUACCAACAUGGAGCUAAGAGUUUUCAGUCAGUACUGGGACAAAUUUCAGAGAUGCAUUGAGUGAAGGGUAAAUCUUUCCAUCACUUAAAUAUCUCAGGAUACUUAAGGUAUCCUCAUGGUAUAGUAUAAGAGGUCAGUGGGACAGAAGUGUCCUAAAUGCAUCUUGAUAGAUUUUCCUGUCACUGUAUAUCAGAAACCGUUGUAAUUAGUCAGCCACUAGCAAUGAAUAAUGGCUAGAAAUAUGGCUAAUGGAAAAUACAUGUUUCAGAAUCAGUAUUGGGAAAGACUGUGGGAUCUUGAAAGUGUUUGGCUGUGGAACUGUCUCCUUGCAAAAUGAGAAACAAGUAUUUUGCCUCUGUGUUCAUUGCAGAUCUCCAAAUACAUAGCUGGAGUGUAAAUUAAGACAAGAGACAGUAAAACCCAGAAUAGUUGCCUUGGAGUGUAGUCCUAAACUCAGUUUAAUGGUUGGUUUCACUUUGUCUUUUAUAAUACCUACAGUAUAUCUCUACUUUUAUAGGUAUGCAUGUAUAUGUGUGUGUAUACAUACAAGUGUUCCAGAAAGAAAUGUUUUAUUUUGGUUUUCUUGCAAGUAUCAGUAUUUCAAUCUUAACACAGGUGCAUCCAGAUAUUAAAGUAACCAUGGCAAAAAAUAGAAUAAUAAAAAAAGAAUUCCAAAGACUUCUUCUGUACCUAAUUUGCAGCUCUUUUCAAAAUGUGUGGUUAUGAAUAAACCAUUUACUUUCACAAGCAUAGGCUCUGCAGGAUUUCAGAUACAAAAGAAUUAAAAGGUCAGAGAAUUACAAUGCCUUUACUGCAUUCCUGUAUGACAGCAAAGUUUGUUACUAUUUGCCGUGUUCAUCCUUAAUUAAAGCAUCAAAUCACAUGUAUAGUCUGGAGCAGCUCAAUUAUGAAAGGUUACAUCCAUCAGUUUCUUCUUGUUUAUUAAUGGCUGGCCCUGACUCUUGAUUCAGUCAGCACUCUUUCAUGAGGAUAAAAGUACAUAUUAUGUUC